rnacentral:rRNA from 1 species
CCUACGGGUGGCAGCAGUGGGGAAUAUUGCGCAAUGGGCGAAAGCCUGACGCAGCGACGCCGCGUGAGGGAUGAAGGUCUUCGGAUCGUAAACCUCUGUCAGCAGGGAAGAACGGUCACUGUGCUAAUCAGCAGUGAAUUGACGGUACCUGCAAGGAAAGCACCGCCUAACUCCGUGCCAGCAGCCGCGGUAAUAGGGAGGGUGCGAGCGUUAAUCGGAAUUACUGGGCGUAAAGCGCUCGUAGGCGGUAUGUCAAGUCAAGUGUGAAAGCCCCGCGCUCAACGUGGGAACUGCUUUUGAAACUGGCAAACUGGAGUGUGUGAGAGGAUAGUGGAAUGCCAGGUGUAGGAGUGAAAUCCGUAGAUAUCUGGAGGAACAUCAGUGGCGAAGGCGACUAUCUGGCACAUAACUGACGCUGAGGAGCGAAAGCGUGGGUAGCAAACAGGAUUAGAUACCCUUGUAGUC